rnacentral:rRNA from 1 species
AUGUGGAGCGCUUAGAAGUGAGAAUGCCGGUGUGAGUAGCGAAAGACGGGUGAGAAUCCCGUCCACCGAUUGACUAAGGUUUCCAGAGGAAGGCUCGUCCGCUCUGGGUUAGUCGGGUCCUAAGCUGAGGCCGACAGGCGUAGGCGAUGGAUAACAGGUUGAUAUUCCUGUACCACCUAUAAUCGUUUUAAUCGAUGGGGGGACGCAGUAGGAUAGGCGAAGCGUGCGAUUGGAUUGCACGUCUAAGCAGUAAGGCUGAGUAUUAGGCAAAUCCGGUACUCGUUAAGGCUGA